AUGCCUACAUCCUCCCCCAGCGCAGCCACACGCACAAGGUGCGCAGCCACGGGCGUCGGGCGUGUGCGGCUUCACCGGUGCUGCCCGGUUGCCAUGGCUUUGCUGCUAACGGUGUGGAGUAGCCACAUCCUACUGCUACUACUGGUAAGUACUAAUCCUGAUUCCUUCUCCAUGAAGUGCUUCAAAUUUCACAACAUGUGCCUGCUAUAUAUGAACGUGGAUGUGCAUAUAUUGUUCAUUUUAUCUCAGGCCCUACUAUUCCCCUCUCAGCCAUAUUGCCUUCUUUCUCUUUGUUUAUCUCAAGGCCACGAAAUUAAUCAAGAUUUAAUCUAUGGUGUGGUCAUGGUAUUGCUACUGAUUAGAUCUAAAUGUUGUUCCUAA
rnacentral:rRNA from 1 species